AUUGAACGCUGGCGGCAGGCCUAACACAUGCAAGUCGAGCGGAUGAAGGGAGCUUGCUCCUGGAUUCAGCGGCGGACGGGUGAGUAAUGCCUAGGAAUCUGCCUGGUAGUGGGGGAUAACGUCCGGAAACGGGCGCUAAUACCGCAUACGUCCUGAGGGAGAAAGUGGGGGAUCUUCGGACCUCACGCUAUCAGAUGAGCCUAGGUCGGAUUAGCUAGUUGGUGGGGUAAAGGCCUACCAAGGCGACGAUCCGUAACUGGUCUGAGAGGAUGAUCAGUCACACUGGAACUGAGACACGGUCAAGACUCCUACGGGAGGCAGCAGUGGGGAAUAUUGGACAAUGGGCGGAAGCCUGAUCCAGCCAUGCCGCGUGUGUGAAGAAGGUCUUCGGAUUGUAAAGCACUUUAAGUUGGGAGGAAGGGAAGUAAGUUAAUACCUUGCUGUUUUGACGUUACCAACAGAAUAAGAACCGGCUAACUUCG
rnacentral:rRNA from 1 species